AAGGUUGGCUAAUCCUGGUCGGACAUCAGGAGGUUAGUGCAAUGGCAUAAGCCAGCUUGACUGCGAGCGUGACGGCGCGAGCAGGUGCGAAAGCAGGUCAUAGUGAUCCGGUGGUUCUGAAUGGAAGGGCCAUCGCUCAACGGAUAAAAGGUACUCCGGGGAUAACAGGCUGAUACCGCCCAAGAGUUCAUAUCGACGGCGGUGUUUGGCACCUCGAUGUCGGCUCAUCACAUCCUGGGGCUGAAGUAGGUCCCAAGGGUAUGGCUGUUCGCCAUUUAAAGUGGUACGCGAGCUGGGUUUAGAACGUCGUGAGACAGUUCGGUCCCUAUCUGCCGUGGGCGCUGGAGAACUGAGGGGGGCUGCUCCUAGUACGAGAGGACCGGAGUGGACGCAUCACUGGUGUUCGGGUUGUCAUGCCAAUGGCACUGCCCGGUAGCUAAAUGCGGAAGAGAUAAGUGCUGAAAGCAUCUAAGCACGAAACUUGCCCCGAGA
rnacentral:rRNA from 1 species